UGGCAGGCAAAGAUCCUUGAAGUCCUAGUAUUAAUUGAGCUUUGUGUUAUGUUCAUUUCACUGAUCUUGGAUAAUGGACAGUCUGGAUGUCUUCACCUGGCCGAUUCCUCUGAAUGUCAGGCUUGAAGGAGAGGUCUAUGCCCUGUACCCCACCAUGCCCCUGUGACUCACAGUCAACUCAGUCACAAAGGCUCCCCCACCAUGCCCCUGUGACUCACAGUCAACUCAGUCACAAAGGCACCCCCACCAUGCCCCUGUGACUCACAGUCAACUCAGUCACAAAGGUUCCCCCACCAUGCCCCUGUGACUCACAGUCAACUCAGUCACAAAGGCUCCCCCACCAUGCCCCUGUGACUCACAGUCAACUCAGUCACAAAGGCUCCCCCACCAUGCCCCUGUGACUCACAGUCAACUCAGUCACAAAGGCUCCCCCACCAUGCCCCUGUGACUCACAGUCAACUCAGUCACAAAGGUUC
ensembl:lncRNA